GAUGAACGCUGGCGGCGUGCCUAAUACAUGCAAGUCGAGCGAACGAACGAGAAGCUUGCUUCUCUGAUGUUAGCGGCGGACGGGUGAGUAACACGUGGAUAACCUACCUAUAAGACUGGGAUAACUUCGGGAAACCGGAGCUAAUACCGGAUAAUAUUUUGAACCGCAUGGUUCAAAAGUGAAAGACGGUCUUGCUGUCACUUAUAGAUGGAUCCGCGCUGCAUUAGCUAGUUGGUAAGGUAACGGCUUACCAAGGCAACGAUGCAUAGCCGACCUGAGAGGGUGAUCGGCCACACUGGAACUGAGACACGGUCCAGACUCCUACGGGAGGCAGCAGUAGGGAAUCUUACGCAAUGGGCGAAAGCCUGACGGAGCAACGCCGCGUGAGUGAUGAAGGUCUUCGGAUCGUAAAACUCUGUUAUUAGGGAAGAACAUAUGUGUAAGUAACUGUGCACAUCUUGACGGUACCUAAUCAGAAAGCCACGGCUAACUACGUG
rnacentral:rRNA from 1 species